GAUGAACGCUGGCGGCGUGCCUAAUAUAUGCAAGUCGAACGAAACUUCUUUAUCACCGAGUGCUUGCACUCACCGAUAAAGAGUUGAGUGGCGAACGGGUGAGUAACACGUGGGCAACCUGCCCCAAAGAGGGGGAUAACACUUGGAAACAGGUGCUAAUACCGCAUAACCAUAGUUACCGCAUGGUAACUAUGUAAAAGGUGGCUAUACUACCGCUUUUGGAUGGGCCCGCGGCGCAUCAGCUAGUUGGUAGGGUAAAGGCUUACCAAGGCAAUGAUGCAUAGCCGAAUUGAGGAGUUGAGCGGCCACAUUGGGACUGAAACACGGCCCAAACUCCUACGGGAGGCAGCAAGAGGGAAUCUUCCACAGUGGGCGAAAGCCUGAUGGAGCAACGCCGCGUGGGUGAAGAAGGUCUUCGGAUCGUAAAACCCUGUUGUUAGAGAAGAAAGUGCGUGAGAGUAACUGUUCACGUUUCGACGGUAUCUAACCAGAAAGCCACGGCUAAGUACGUG
rnacentral:rRNA from 1 species